rnacentral:rRNA from 1 species
UACGUAGGGGGCGAGCGUUGUCCGGAAUCAUUGGGCGUAAAGAGCUCGUAGGCGGUUCAGUAAGUCAGGUGUGAAAGCUCCGAGCUCAACUCGGAGAGACCACCUGAUACUGCUGUGACUAGAAUCCAGUAGGGGAGUGUGGAACUCCCGGUGUAGUGGUGAAAUGCGUAGAGAUCGGGAGGAACACCCGUGGCGAAGGCGGCUCACUGGGCCGGUCCUGACGCUGAGACGCGAAGGCGUGGGGAGCGAACGGG